rnacentral:lncRNA from 1 species
AACUGUUUUGUCAAUGUUACUGGCAUACACACUUCAAAGGAAAACCUAAAAUAGAAAAGAUGGCUAAUAGCAUAAUGCUUAAGAACAUGAGUUUUAGAAUUGAACUGCAGGGCAUACUGAACUCUGCCAUUUACUGGAUGUGUGACCUUGGGCAGGUUACCUAAUCUCUUCACGCCUCAUUGUUCUCAUCUGUAAAAUGGGGACAAUAAUACUACCUAAUUCACUGUAUUGUUAUGAGAUUAAAAGAGUUAGUACCUAUAAAGGGCUUGCCUAGUGGCUGGCACAUAGUAAGUCUUCAGUAAAUAUCAGUUAUUAGGACUAAAUCAGGUUGUUGGGGGUAGGGGGAAGGAAGAGGGAAUAAUUCUAUCCUUCUAAAGUUUUUGUAAAGUGCAGCACUAGAGUGUGGCUCUAGCGACAUAGGAAAACUCAUCUUUGGGCAGGGGACCACUUUACGAGUCAAACCAGGUAGGUCUGGAUGUUCCCGGCUGAGGCACAGCUGCCCACUACAUUCGUGUCUUGUCUAAUUUUCUCUGCCUUCUCAACUUCUAACCGAGGACUUUCACUGUUCAGUUUUAUUUUCUUUUUGUAAUACUUAGUAGGAUGUGUGGAAAACCUAGCCAAUAGGGUCUUCCCCAGCCCAUUCAGUUUCAGCUAGAGGCAAAAAGUGGGGCAAGCCUGAAGGUGAACUGGAUCUGGGAAUUCUAGGCUAAGACUGAGAGAAUGUAAGUCUGGCUAACUUGGAGAAAUAAAAACAUCCAAUGUGGGAGGUUCAUGAAAACUAAAAAUGAUUUUCCUAAUAGUGUACUAGAGUAGAAACCACCCCUGUGGUUUCUAGAAUUCUCUAAGAACUGUCAUUCAAGGAGAAAACUGUCUUUCAAGCAUGGAAAUGGCAAGUUUUUGUUUGGUAAAAGAAAGAAAUAAAGAAAAAAUAGGGGAGGACAGAAGAGAAACUGUUGGUGACUUGGAUCUUUUCUUUUUAAUUUAUUCUUUUGGUCAAGAAACAUGGAAGACCGUAUUUUCCAUAAGAUGGCUUUUAAAAACCUUUUUAAAAUUCCUACUGUCACCAAGUAGGAGUCGAAUAUGUAUAGCAUACCUCUGGUGAGCUGUAUAGAGGAAGAAAAGGAAGGAAAUUUAGCAGAGUUGAGAGUGUUUUUGUACUAGGCAGAAAAGCCGUGCCAAUCUCUGGGACAAACAAGCUUGGAACAAGGCUUUUCUUUGGGCCUGGAACAAGACUCACCAUUAUUCCCCAUAAGUCCUUUACUACUUGAGAGAAAGCCCUUAAUCUAUAAUGACCAGCUCUCACAUCCCAGACACCUAAUGAAUUUCUAAAUGAGCUUCCGUGUGUUAACCUGAUAAGACUCUCCAGGGAGAGGGUCACCCUUACUUUCCUGGCUCUAAAUGUAAGACAUGUUUUGUAAGAAAAAUGGGAAAUGUCAAUUGCUGUGCCAAAACAAAGAGGAUGGGUAUAAAAACUGGACCAGUUUUAGUGUUAAGUUUAUAAAAUGUAAGCCUUUCAGAAGGGUUUCAAGGCACACUUAUUAGUUUGCGUCUACACAGCACAAUUGUCCAGUUAAUUUGAUUAAUGUCAGUAGCUGAUCCAGAUAUUUAGGCACUUCCUGGAGAAACCUUCUUGGUGCUCAAAAUUGCCUCAAUUGACUGUCACAUUACCUAAAUAAUUGCCAGAUCUGUUUUACUUUGUGCUGUAUAGACUCAGCCUAAUAAAAACAAAUGCUGUUGUGUGUUUUUCCCCAGUCUGUCUCCUCUCGGCGCGGAAAGUUUCCUUCUAGUCACACAAAGAAAAGAUACCCAGCAAGCCAUUUGACUUAUGGCUGCUGCUAUUUUGCAUUUAUAUGACUCCUUUCCUUGGAAGAGAUUAAGACACUUCAUACGACUUAUUAGCUAAACAGAUUGACAGCCUAAUUAGAAAGAGAGAAGCCGCUUCUGAGUA